AUGGACGCUGGCGGCGUGCCUAAUACAUGCAAGUCGAGCGAACAGACGAGGAGCUUGCUCCUCUGACGUUAGCGGCGGACGGGUGAGUAACACGUGGAUAACCUACCUAUAAGACUGGGAUAACUUCGGGAAACCGGAGCUAAUACCGGAUAAUAUAUUGAACCGCAUGGUUCAAUAGUGAAAGACGGUUUUGCUGUCACUUAUAGAUGGAUCCGCGCCGCAUUAGCUAGUUGGUAAGGUAACGGCUUACCAAGGCAACGAUGCGUAGCCGACCUGAGAGGGUGAUCGGCCACACUGGAACUGAGACACGGUCCAGACUCCUACGGGAGGCAGCAGUAGGGAAUCUUCCGCAAUGGGCGAAAGCCUGACGGAGCAACGCCGCGUGAGUGAUGAAGGUCUUCGGAUCGUAAAACUCUGUUAUUAGGGAAGAAUAAAUGUGUAAGUAACUAUGCACGUCUUGACGGUACCUAAUCAGAAAGCCACGGCUAACUACGUG
rnacentral:rRNA from 1 species